AGUGGCGCACGGGUGAGUAACACGUGGACCAUCUACCUUUUAGUGGGGAAUACCUCUGGGAAACCGGAGACAAUACCGCAUAAGCCUGUAAAGGGAAAGCAGCAAUGCGCUGAAAGAGGAGUCCGCGGCCGAUUAGCUAGUUGGCGGGGUAAUGGCCCACCAAGGCGAAGAUCGGUAGCCGGCCUGAGAGGGCACACGGCCACACUGGCACUGAAACACGGGCCAGACUCCUACGGGAGGCAGCAGUGGGGAAUCUUGCACAAUGGGCGAAAGCCUGAUGCAGCGUCGCCGCGUGAGCGAUGAAGCCCUUCGGGGUGUAAAGCUCUUUCGACGGGAACGAUAAUGACGGUACCCGGAGAAGAAGCUGCGGCUAACUACGUGCCAGCAGCCGCGGUAAUACGUAGGCAGCGAGCGUUGUUCGGAAUUACUGGGCGUAAAGAGUGUGUAGGCGGUGCUCCCAGUCUGUUGUGAAAUCUCCCGGCUUAACUGGGAGGGUGCAGCGGA
rnacentral:rRNA from 1 species